AAAUAAAUGUAUAUAUAUAUAAUCCUGCAAACGACCCUGUAUCCUCACUAUGUACUUUAUCUCAAUGUGUUUAUGGCGUCCCCAAAAUGGCCGACGUUAACAAUACUGACUUUACAUGAAAACACUCCCUUGUUGACUCCCUCGGAUAUUGUGUAACAUCUAAAAUAAAUACUUUAGUAAGGUCAAUAUAUGAAUUAAAUAACCAUGAUCCACAAAAAGAAGAACAAAGAUCCUACCAUGGAAUAUAAGAACAGUUUAAGACUAAUUUGAGGGUCCUGAAUCUUUGACUGUUCUUAAAUUAUGUCAUUUGUAUGGAUUUCAAGAAUUUUUGUAAAUAGCCCUAUAAGGAGAGCUACGUCACCGAGCUAUCCGCUUUGACGACAGCUGACUUCCUCAUGUGUUUGAGUCAAAACAUUCAAAAUUUAAUACUAUAUUUUAUGUGAAGAACUCUACAAAAGUGAUAUAUUUUGUUAAAAUACUCCAGGUAUGCCCUCUUGUUGUGCGCCGUGGAUUACAGGAAUCGUUCUUGAGCUGAGGGAAUGACACUUUUUUAUUUUCCAAGCGAUAAAUUCCUUGGAGGGCAAUGGGUUCUAAAAAUGAAAUGAAAUCUUUGGAAACAAUAAUAUGACUCUCGAUUGUGACCUAAACAUUUUGAAGAAAUAAGGAAUUCCAACUCUCAAGCCAUUUCAACAUUCUUUAAACAUCUAAAACCUAAAGUUCCAAGGCUCACCAAAAACCCCAUUUUCAUUCGGGAAAACAAUGUUGAUGGUAAAAAUAAAGAUCUCCACAAUUUCAGAAUCGUACGUAUGAACUUUACUCCUUAUUUGGAACCUCCUACUUCCCAAAAUAGAAAAAUAGACUUAGUGGGCAUUAAUCUAAUUUCAUCAACAAUAUAAGAUGAAACUUCUUAUUAUGAUAUAUAUAUAUUGCAUUAGUUACUUUAUCCUUAGAAAAUAAUAAUUGUAUUAUUACAGAUAUUUCUUCUGAGGUAAAACAUCUAAAUGAAAUAAAUAGCAACAUACAAAUCCAACUUGGAGUAUGUAUUUGAAGCAGAAAUAAAGGAAUUAAAGAAGAAGUUGAAGAUGUCAAAAUUUGGGACGCAGAAUCAAAGUUUAAGUCUUUGAAAAUGCGCCUCUCUUCGGUAUUUAAUUCAAACCAUAUACAUUUUUUAAGUCGCAAGUCUUCACACUCCAAAAUCCGCCUUUGGUCAAAUAAAACCAUUUAGAAUUCACUUUAGUUAAAUUCGUUGAUGAACUAUAUGUUGUCCAA
rnacentral:lncRNA from 1 species